rnacentral:rRNA from 1 species
UACGUAGGGUGCAAGCGUUGUCCGGAAUUAUUGGGCGUAAAGAGCUCGUAGGCGGUCUGUCGCGUCUGCUGUGAAAACUCGGGGCUUAACUCCGGGCCUGCAGUGGGUACGGGCUGACUAGAGUGCGGUAGGGGAGACUGGAAUUCCUGGUGUAGCGGUGAAAUGCGCAGAUAUCAGGAGGAACACCGGUGGCGAAGGCGGGCCUCUGGGCCGUAACUGACGCUGAGGAGCGAAAGCGUGGGGAGCGAACAGG